GYUGCCCGCGACAUUGCGAGAAGUCCAYUGAACCUAUCAUUUAGAGGAAGGAGAAGUCGUUAACAAGGUUUCCGUAGGUGAACCUGCGGAAGGAUCAUUGUCGAAACCUSCAAAGYAGAAUGACCCGSGAACACGUUAUUACCCUAACUCGGCAAUGUGCGGGGCCUUGUCCCAAAACAUUAUCGAACACAACUAAUCAUCGAGCGCGGUAUGCGCCAAGGAAAAUAUAAAGAACACAMCCGCCUUGUUGUGGCCCCGGAAACGGUGGGUCUCCUCGGGGAUGCGUUUGUUCCAUAAGUCAAAACGACUCUCGGCAACGGAUAUCUCGGCUCUCGCAUCGAUGAAGAACGUAGCGAAAUGCGAUACAUGGUGUGAAUUGCAGAAUUCCGUGAAUCAUCGAGUUUUUGAACGCAAGUUGCGCCCAAAGCCAUUUGGCCGAGGGCACGCCUGCCUAGGUGUCACGCAUCGUUGCCCCCUCCUCMAGCCUAUCKCUCGCGAUGARAUUGUUGGGAGGGCGUACAAUGGCUUCCCGUUUGCUUGUCUUCCGGUUGGCCUAAAAUUAACUUCAUUAGCUUCRAUUGCCGUGGCACAUGGUGGUAUUCGAACAAAUCGUAACCUGCCACGUGCAGUYUGUUARACUAAGGGACCGUAUAAACCCAAAUGCGUAGGCUUUUUAAUCCGUGCUUCCAACGCGACCCUAGGUCAGGCGGGGAUUACCCGCUGAAUUUNAGCAUAUCAAUAAGCGGGAGAAAAAAAACUUU
rnacentral:rRNA from 1 species